rnacentral:rRNA from 1 species
UCGAGAGUUUGAUCCUGGCUCAGGAUGAACGCUAGCGGCAGGCUUAACACAUGCAAGUCGAGGGGUAUAGUUCUUCGGAGCUAGAGACCGGCGCACGGGUGCGUAACGCGUAUGGAAUCUACCUUUUACAGAGGGAUAGCCCAGAGAAAUUUGGAUUAAUACCACAUAGUAUGUGAGAAUCGCAUGGUUUUCACAUUAAAGUUCCAACGGUAAAAGAUGAGCAUGCGUCCCAUUAGCUAGAUGGUAAGGUAACGGCUUACCAUGGCGACGAUGGGUAGGGGUCCUGAGAGGGAGAUCCCCCACACUGGUACUGAGACACGGACCAGACUCCUACGGGGAGGCAGCAGUGAGGAAUAUUGGACAAUGGGGCGCAAGCCUGAUCCCAGCCCAUGCCGCGUGCAGGAUGACGGUCCUAUGG